rnacentral:rRNA from 1 species
UACGUAGGGGGCGAGCGUUGUCCGAAGUUACUGGGCGUAAAGCGCGCGUAGGCGGGCUUUUAAGUGAGGGGUGAAAGGUUUGGGCUCAACCCAAACACUGCCUUUCAUACUGGGAGCCUUGAGUAUGGGAGAGGCGAGUGGAAUGGUCGGUGUAGCGGUGAAAUGCGUAGAUAUCGAGAGGAACACCGAUGGCGAAGGCAGGUCUCUGGGCCACUACUGACGCUGAGAAGCGAAAGCGUGGGGAGCGAACAGG